rnacentral:misc_RNA from 1 species
CAAGACAUGAUCAUCUGACUGGUUAGGGUAUGAUAUUUUUCAUCAGUCAUGCACGUUGGGGGCAAAAUAGACCACAUGCCAGCAUGUGCAACAACUAGCAUCAGCUUUGCUAAUGGGACACCUCACUAGCAGCAUCAGGCACAGAGGUAGAUUCAUCCUCUGUCCAUCCUACAUUUCCAGUUGCGUCCGAUCCCCAAUAAAUUACACACGGGUGCACAGAGAAAAUCUCCAGCCAGCAUCUGCUGUUCAAGCAUUGCAAAUACAUUUAACUACAAACAGCAUCAGAAGCUGCAUGUCAACAGCUAAACCAUCAGCACUGUCAAUCAACACACAAUCUACCAAUCAGCCUCCUCAAAUUUCACGAACUAACUAUAGUUAUGAGGGUUGGCAGCCAUAUCACCAUCAUCAUCAUCUGAUAUCAACCUCACCAACCUUCUCUCGAUCAUAACAAAAUGUCAGCUAAUAUUCUGCCUAGAAAUUGCAUCACAUUUUGUGUUUCAACACAUUCAGAAGAAAGCUAAAGUUGUUGUUGAUGCACUUGUUUGCUUGUUCUCAUAUUAUGCCACCAGAAAACUAAUCCUCAUCAACACGAGGAGAAGGGCUUCGUGAAUCCAUUGCUCGACCUGGAGGCGAACGACUUCGAGGAGUUGGAGAGCGUUCAUUGCGAACACGCCUCACAGGACUUCCUUUUGUGGGUGAUAAGCUUCUAGGAGGAGACUCUUUCCUGUGAGGACUGGGGCUACGCCGAGAUGGGGAGGCACUGUCAACUGAUGGGCUCCGCCUAUAAUGUUUUCUGUCCCGUCUCCUGCCACGAUCUCGAUCAUAGUCUGGACUAUCGCCAUCGGUCCAGGAGCCGCAGCUUAAGUCCAGACUAUGAUCG